rnacentral:lncRNA from 1 species
CUAGUUUCGAACUUUCACAUUAGUUUUAUAAAAUAUUUGUUUUCAGUGAUAUGUUAUCAUAAUAAAUCACAUAAACGAGAAAAAUAUAAUAUAAUGAAAUAAUUAUAAUUAAUGCAAUAGUAUUGAUAAUAUAGCACAAAUUUGCAGGUCAAAUUCAAAGGGACACAAAAUAAAUCAUUAAGAAGGAAGUGAAAAAUCAUUGGAAUCGGAUGAUAAGGAAGGCAAGAAUUAAGGACUGUCUGUACCUGUACUAAGAAAGUAUAUAAUUUGUCAUAUCGCAUCCCCGAUGAUCCGCUUCAAAUGUGAUUUCGCUGAUUUUAUAAUGUUCUCUCAUAAGCUUUCAAAAUCAGAAGGAGGAAUUAUAUAUCACUUAUUUAUAAAAAUUUAUCUUCUUAUUUAUAAAAAGAUAUUUUUUAGAUUAUUUUUAAAUUUCUUUGUUUAUGCGAGAAGCAUUUGUUGAAGCAAGAGUUUUUUAAAUUCAAUUAAAUUUAAUCAUGUUCCAACAAAAUUAGUUCCGUUAUCCGAAUAAAUAUCGUAGCAUAAUUGUGGAUGUAUAAUAAAUUUUUUUACCAGUUUAGAAAUGCAUCUGUGAAAAGAUUAAUAAUUAAUUCAAUAUAGCGAAUCGCCUUUAUUACAAAAUAUACGAAUAAACAGAUGUAUUCCUUAGUAUAAAUUUUAAUGCGCAUCCUGUCCUUAGAUCUGCAUAGUCUUCGCAGAUAGCAAGAUAUAUAGAGGAAUAUACAGGAGUGAGUUGGAUAACAGAUAAAUUACUCAUUAUUUGCGUUGGACUUUACUUGAAAAUAUUAAACAUUUUUUAAUGAUGCUCUUCACUAUCCUUCUAGCAGAUGAUAUCCAAAAUUUUUUGCGCAGCAAAAAAACUAUAUAGUUUGAUAACUCGCGUAUAAUUAUAAAAAAAUUUAUGAAAAAUAAAUAAUCUACUUGAUUUGUAUACUGAGUGAAUAAUAAAUAUUUUUGUUUAAUUGAGGCAUUGCUUAUUCUAAGAAAUCUAAAAGUAUCUAAGAAUUUAACAAGUACAGUACUUUGUCUUUCAGAAUUUCUAAAUUAUUUUUUAAGUUCUGAAUUUCUGAUUUGAAGUGUGUUUGUUAUAAUAUAUUUGUUAUAAUAUUGUUAUAAUAUUUUAUAAUAUGAGUUCAUAUGUAGAGACUAAAUGAGAUAAAUAUAUUAUUCGUGAUUUUGCUUACGUAGUUUUCAAUAAAUCAGAAAUAGUAGGCGUGAAAUAGUCGGUUAUAAGAUAAAAAUCUUAAAAAAUUCUAUUUCUUUAUCUUAAUCACUGAAAAGUUGUAACUGUACUGUGUUCUUUAUAGUUCUUCGAUAUAAGAAUCUGUCUGUGACUAUUGCAUGUAGUUCUCCAAGUUCACCAUAGUGUUGUCAUAUGCAAUUCUAAUAAGAAAAAAUCUCGAAAGAUCAUCGUUUUGAUUCAUUGAAAUCAUUCAUGAUUUCAAAUUAGGUGAUAUAUCCUAAUCGUUGUAUUUUUAAUUUGCAACGAAGAUCUUUUAUCAUGAUAGUGAUGCCUUAAUCCAGAAUAUAAUCAUAGUAUCAGUCCAACAAAAUUCUUGACUUCAAUUGCAAUUUAGUGUUAUACACAUCUUUUUAAUGAGUUGCACAAACAGCAAGAUAUUACAGUUCCAAGCGCAUUAGAUUAGUUUGAUUUGACACAUAAGAAGAACAUAUAUGUGCUAUUGUCUAUGAUUUUGUAAACGUAAGUAAAUACAGAUAUUAUGUAAUUGUCCUAUCGAUUAUAGCUCUGAAAACUGCAAUGUUAUUAACUAAAAUCUAGUUUAUUCCAGAAAUUUAUUCACGAAGUAUGAGGAAGAGAUUCAUCAAGAGAUUUUUAAUUGCCAUAAUUGUUGCACUAAUAAAUAAAUUCGCGUAUAAAAUAAAUACUUUUAAUAAUCUUAAUAGGUCAAAUAUUUGUGAUAUAUUAGAUAAGAUGGUAUGUUUCGUUAUGAAAUCCAUUGAAAAAUCUUAUAAAAUACAAUUCAUCUUGGUGCGCAUUCCACAAUAGUUCCAGUAUUUUUGUUUCUUUUUUAGAUUUGAUUUUGAUUUUCACUUCUGAUUUUUCAUCAUUUAAUAUUCUAUUGUUAUUAGUAAUUCAAUUUCGAAGUGAACUUAUAAUACAUAAAAUUGUGAUCAAUUCGUUGUUAGUUUGUUUGUAUUAGAUCAUUUAUUCUAUUCUGUUAAUAGGUUAUUGAUAUAAAAAUCGAAUCGAAAAAUGACCUGGCUGCUAUUAAAGAAGUUAUUUCUGUAAUUUUCACCAACAACAGUCGAAUUGCUAAAAAAGAUCCAUAAAUAUUUAAUUCGUAAAUUU